rnacentral:rRNA from 1 species
UGGGGAAUAUUGCACAAUGGGCGCAAGCCUGAUGCAGCCAUGCCGCGUGUGUGAAGAAGGCCUUCGGGUUGUAAAGCACUUUCAGCGGGGAGGAAGGCGAUAAGGUUAAUAACCUCAUCGAUUGACGUUACCCGCAGAAGAAGCACCGGCUAACUCCGUGCCAGCAGCCGCGGUAAUACGGAGGGUGCAAGCGUUAAUCGGAAUUACUGGGCGUAAAGCGCACGCAGGCGGUCUGUCAAGUCGGAUGUGAAAUCCCCGGGCUCAACCUGGGAAAUGCAUUAGAAACUGGCAGGCUAGAGUAUUGUAGAGGGGGGUAGAAUUCCAGGUGUAGCGGUGAAAUGCGUAGAGAUCUGGAGGAAUACCGGUGGCGAAGGCGGCCCCAUGGACAAAGACUGACGCUCAGGUGCGAAAGCGUGGGGAGCAAACAGG